CACAACGCUUUCUUUCCAAUCUCCUUGUGUUUCAGGUCUUGGAUCUGUUCCUGGGCUCCUACACUCUGAUAUCCAUCUCACCCGCUUGUCUUGGAUCUCUUCC